UACGUAGGUGGCAAGCGUUUGUCCGGAAUUAUUGGGCGUAAAGCGCGCGCAGGCGGUCCUUUAAGUCUGAUGUGAAAGCCCACGGCUCAACCGUGGAGGGUCAUUGGAAACUGGGGGACUUGAGUGCAGAAGAGGAAAGCGGAAUUCCACGUGUAGCGGAUGAAAUGCGUAGAGAUGUGGAGGAACACCAGUGGCGAAGGCGGCUUUCUGGUCUGUAACUGACGCUGAGGCGCGAAAGCGUGGGGAGCAAACAGG
rnacentral:rRNA from 1 species